CGAGGACCUGGGCACUUGCUCGUCGUCCUGUCAUCGAGGCCAAGGCCGCGACCCCCAGAGAGAACCGCACCGCCCGCCACCAGCGCGUCCGAAAGAAGGUAACCCGUACUACUAGAAGUGCUCCUUUUCUUUUCAGUCAAUUGUUUAAUGAGAGAAUGCGAUGAAUGAACUGAACUGAACUGAAAGAGCCGUCAUUUCCUGGCCUCGUAGCCCUAUUGCCUGAAGCUGGUUUUAUUUCAACAAAACGAGCGAUUUCCGAUUCUUGUAUUUCUUAAGAGGAAAGUUGUUAGCGCCUUCAGC
rnacentral:lncRNA from 1 species